rnacentral:rRNA from 1 species
AUACGUAGGGCGCGAGCGUUGUCCGGAAUUACUGGGCGUAAAGGGCGCGUAGGCGGCGCUUCAAGUCGUCUGUCAAAUGGGAGGGCUUAACCCUUUUUCGCAGACGAAACUGGAGAGCUUGAGAAGCAGAGAGGCAAACAGAAUUCCUGGUGUAGCGGUGAAAUGCGUAGAUAUCAGGAAGAAUACCAGUGGCGAAGGCGGUUUGCUGGCUGCAUACUGACGCUGAAGCGCGAAAGCCAGGGGAGCAAACGGGAUUAGAUACCCCGGUAGUCCUGGCAGUAAACGAUGUAUGCUGGGUGUGGGUGUCGAGAGGCAUCCGUGCCGGAGUUAACGCGAUAAGCAUUCCGCCUGGGGAGUACGAUCGCAAGAUUGAAACUCAAAGGAAUUGACGGGG